rnacentral:misc_RNA from 1 species
UCCUGGUUUCCCAGGCAGUCUCACCAGAGUGCCUUGCAAAGCAAGUAGCAACUGGCGACAGGGGUUGCGCUCGUUAGAGGACUUAACCUAACAUCUCACGACACGAGCUGACGACAGCCAUGCAGCACCUGUGCAAUUGUCUAAACCGAAGCCUAGAAAACUAUAUUUCUACAGCGAUCAAAAGCAUGUCAAGUCCAGGUAAGGUUCCUCGCGUAGUGUCGAAUUAAACCACAUGUUCCACCGCUUGUGCGGACCCCCGUCAAUUCCUUUGAGUUUUAAUCUUGCGAUCGUACUCCCCAGGCGAAUCACUUAACGCGUUAGCUACGACACUAAUCCAGCUAAGCUGAACUAACGUCUAGUGAUUAUCGUUUACGGCGUGGACUAC